AUUAAGAAGCUAUGAACCAGCAUUAGCCUUUUAAGCUAAAGAAAGAGGGACCCCACCCUCCUUAAUGA
rnacentral:tRNA from 1 species